rnacentral:rRNA from 2 species
GAACGGCAGCGCGGGAGCAAUCCUGGCGGCGAGUGGCGAACGGGUGAGUAAUACAUCGGAACGUGCCCAAUCGUGGGGGAUAACGCAGCGAAAGCUGUGCUAAUACCGCAUACGAUCUACGGAUGAAAGCAGGGGACCGCAAGGCCUUGCGCGAAUGGAGCGGCCGAUGGCAGAUUAGGUAGUUGGUGAGGUAAAGGCUCACCAAGCCUUCGAUCUGUAGCUGGUCUGAGAGGACGACCAGCCACACUGGGACUGAGACACGGCCCAGACUCCUACGGGAGGCAGCAGUGGGGAAUUUUGGACAAUGGGCGCAAGCCUGAUCCAGCCAUGCCGCGUGCAGGAUGAAGGCCUUCGGGUUGUAAACUGCUUUUGUACGGAACGAAACGGCCUUUUCUAAUAAAGAGGGCUAAUGACGGUACCGUAAGAAUAAGCACCGGCUAACUACGUGCCAGCAGCCGCGGUAAUACGUAGGGUGCAAGCGUUAAUCGGAAUUACUGGGCGUAAAGCGUGCGCAGGCGGUGAUGUAAGACAGUUGUGAAAUCCCCGGGCUCAACCUGGGAACUGCAUCUGUGACUGCAUCGCUGGAGUACGGCAGAGGGGGAUGGAAUUCCGCGUGUAGCAGUGAAAUGCGUAGAUAUGCGGAGGAACACCGAUGGCGAAGGCAAUCCCCUGGGCCUGUACUGACGCUCAUGCACGAAAGCGU